UUAAUUCAAAUUUGUAUGGAAUUGGAACGUUUUCCUACGUUUCCCGCUAGGGGCGCUGUUCCGACUGCCUACAAAUUUGAGUUA
rfam:Bombyx mori DNA, contig: Bm_scaf23_contig15831, strain: p50T/Dazao, build 2, whole genome shotgun sequence.